GGCGCGUUCCCUCCGGCCCGCGGAAGCUGCCGCUCGCCUCGCCGGCCUCCGCCCGCGACCUCCCCGGCCGCCUCCGAUGCACACCCGCGAGGGCGCCUCGGCCGGCUGCAGGCCGGCUGACCGCUCAGCGACGAAAAGCAUUAUUCGCAAUAGCCAAGAUGUGGAAGCAACGCAAGUGCCCAUCAACUGAUGAAAGGAUAAAGAAGAUGUGGUGUGUCCUCCUGGAGAAGAGAUCUGAACCAGUAGAUCCCAACUUCAGGUCGGCCUUCAACUGCCCCCAAACCAUCAGAGGGCCACAGGCCAGGAAGGUCUGAAUGAGCCACCCCCCUUCCUAGACCAGCCUCAACACAAACGCAAUAGGGUCAACCCCUCCAGCAUGUGGUUUGAAGCAACAUUCUCCUGAGAAUUUCCUUGAAUAUGUGAAGCACUUUGGGAAGCAGCCACGUUGAAACAUAAAAAGCAGUGAAUUCUGAGGAAGAAGAUGUAAAUGAGAAUCCUGAUCUCCGAGGCUACCCUUUACUACCUGCGCAUCUUUGGCGAAAGACCUUACACUGUCCAAGCCUCAGUUUACCCAUCUGUUGUGAGGAUUAUGUGUGAAAACAUGUGGCAAACUUUGAACAUCUACCAAAUAUUUGCUAUUGCCAACACUUGUUGGAUGUCAGAUGACUUAUGUGAGUUGUAUUAAUGAAAACAAUGUGUGACAGUAUGGAACAUAUUUCUCCACUGUUUCAGAUGAAUUGUUCUAUAUAAAUAUCAGGCUAUAUUCCAUCACUGUAUUAAGAUUUUCCUUUUAAGUUGCUGAUAACUGAUUUUUUUUUUUAAAGAUUUUACUUUUUUCAUUUUUCUUCCCAAAGCCCCCAGGUACA